UUCAUGAAAAUAUAAGGAACCAUUGUAACUGACACCAAUGUGCAUGCUUUUGUUAAUUUUUAUGGUCAUUCUUGUCACUUCAAUAUGGGGACAUCCCACCAGCCUGGUUUUGCAAGUUUGAAGAUUAUUCUAACCAAGUAACAAUGCUUCCUGCUUGUAACUAUCUGUAACUUAUCCACAUCUGAAGUCACAACAUACGUUAUUUAUAUCCACAUCUACAAAUUAUCAUUUUACACUUCCACAAAAUUUUUUCCCAAUGUGAAGAAUUUGAAGCCUCUUUACGAUCUUCUGUAGUUGUUGACUAAUAGACUUCUUCCAAGUUAGGGGGGGUUCUUUUUCCAUUAUGCUGUAAAGUGCUACAUACUUUGUGAUGCACUUUUUUCAAAAUCAUCAUUAUAACUUUCAUUCAGGAUGGGAUAAGCAUCUCCCCCUUCAUUCUGAACCUUAUACACAAACUUGUGACCCAAUAAUUACCAGAUUCUCCUCCAAGUUUUGUUGUACAUGCCUAUCUCAUAUAAAUCUGGUGCAUCAUUUUAUACUUGAUAGGUAUAACUCCUAUACUCGAUCUGCAUAUUUCUCCCUUGUCUCCUAAUCUAGUCAUACAACCGCCUCAUCAAUCUCAUAUUGAUGCUAAGUUAUGUAUCUG
rnacentral:lncRNA from 1 species